rnacentral:tRNA from 2 species
GCCCCCAUCGUCUAGUGGCUUAGGACAUCUCUCUUUCAAGGAGGCAGCGGGGAUUCGAAUUCCCCUGGGGGUA